rnacentral:rRNA from 1 species
AUGAGCGAAGGGAAGGCUAAAGGAUUUUGUGAGGAUAAGCACGACACCCUAUGGUUUGAAGAUCGUGUUUAUGUGCCCAAUAACCCGGAGAUCAGGAGGUUGAUUUUGCAAGAGGCACACGAUUCACUGUAUUCGAUUCACCCAGGAAAUACCAAGUUGUAUUUGGAUUUGAAGGAUAUUUUCUGGUGGACCGGAAUGAAGAAAGACAUUGCGGAGUAUGUAGCAGUUUGUGAUGUAUGUCAGAGAGUAAAGGCAGAGCAUCAGAAGCCAGCAGGAUUUCUACAACCAUUGCCGAUACCCGAAUGGAAGUGGAAUAAGUUAGGCAUGGAUUUUAUCACGGGAUUACCCAGGACUCGUUCAGGCUAUGACUCGAUUUGGGUUGUAGUUGAUCGGUUGACGAAAGUAGCUCAUUUCAUCCCGGUAAAAACCACUUACACCAGUGCUAAGUUGGCAAAGAUAUACAUGACCAGGAUUGUAUGCUUACAUGGAGUUCCGAGGAGUAUAGUAUCAGAUAGAGGAACCCAGUUUACCUCAAAGUUCUGGAAUCAGUUGCACGAAAUUUUGCGUACCAGGCUAGAGUUCAGCACAACUUUUCAUCCACAGACAGAUGGACAGACCGAGAGAGUCAAUCAGAUUUUGGAGGACAUGCUGAGAGCUUGUGCGCUAGAUUAUGGAUCUAGUUGGGACGAGAAUUUGCCGUAUGCAGAGUUCUCUUACAACAACAGCUAUCAAUCCAGUUUAAAGAUGGCCCCUUUCGAAGCCUUGUACGGAAGAAGGUGCAGGACACCGUUGUCGUGGGAUGAAGUUGGAGACUGCUAG